CUUUGUAACAACUCUUCCUACCAAAGCUGUUCUUACCUUAUGCAGUCUUUUUGAAACGAUACAACCAUGCACCAUGAUGAGGUUGAUAGAAUUUGGUAUCUUUCACCUUCAAACCUGCCUUCCUUCCAAGCCCAUUAUAAUGAGGAAGAUGAAGACAAAUCAAGCCUCAUCGAAGAGAGGAGGAAGAGAAGGAUGAUAUCCAACAGAGAGUCUGCUCGACGAUCGCGCAUGAGAAAGCAGAAGCAAUUCAAUCAGCUCUGGUCACUGGUCAUUCACUUCCAAUCAGUGAACCACCAACUCCUCCACAAAGUAAACAACAUGAUGAAAGAGUGCCAUCACAUCCUCCAUGAGAAUAUAAAGCUUAGGGACAAAAAGCUUGAGCUCCUAAAGGAACUUGAAAAUCUAGCAGCUGAGUAUAAUUGUGUCUCACAUGUCUAGAAUAACCCAGCUUGCAUGAGACUUGAACUAAAAAUUGUCUGGUCUCACCUGAGAUGCUCCUUUGGGGCCUUCAUUUCCUCGAUAAUAACAUUUUUGUUCUGCUCA